CAGAGAUGCUUUGGUGCCUUCGGGAACUCUGAGACAGGUGCUGCAUGGCUGUCGUCAGCUCGUGUUGUGAAAUGUUGGGUUAAGUCCCGCAACGAGCGCAACCCUUAUCCUUUGUUGCCAGCGGCUCGGCCGGGAACUCAAAGGAGACUGCCGGUGAUAAACCGGAGGAAGGUGGGGAUGACGUCAAGUCAUCAUGGCCCUUACGGCCAGGGCUACACACGUGCUACAAUGGCGCAUACAAAGAGAAGCGACCUCGCGAGAGCAAGCGGACCUCAUAAAGUGCGUCGUAGUCCGGAUUGGAGUCUGCAACUCGACUCCAUGAAGUCGGAAUCGCUAGUAAUCGUAGAUCAGAAUGCUACGGUGAAUACGUUCUCGGGCCUUGUACACACCGCCCGUCACACCAUGGGAGUGGGUUGCAAAAGAAGUAGGUAGCUUAACCUUCGGGAGGGCGCUUACCACUUUGUGAUUCAUGACUGGGGUGAAGUCGUAACAAGGUAGGCGUACUACA
rnacentral:rRNA from 1 species